UACGAAGGGGGCUAGCGUUGUUCGGAAUUACUGGGCGUAAAGCGCACGUAGGCGGCUUCUUAAGUCGGUGGUGAAAUCCUGGAGCUCAACUCCAGAACUGCCUUCGAUACUGGGAAGCUCGAGUCCGGGAGAGGUGAGUGGAACUGCGAGUGUAGAGGUGAAAUUCGUAGAUAUUCGCAAGAACACCAGUGGCGAAGGCGGCUCACUGGCCCGGUACUGACGCUGAGGUGCGAAAGCGUGGGGAGCAAACAGG
rnacentral:rRNA from 1 species